CCCCACGGGACUCAGCAGUGAUAAAAA
rnacentral:piRNA from 2 species